CAAUAGCGUAUAUUAAAGUUGUUGCAGUUAAAAAGCUCGUAGUUGGAUUUGUGGCGUACGGUGUGUUCCGGGCACUUGUUGUCUGAGUAACCUGCUGUUGCCAUCCUUGGGUGGAACCUGUGUGGCAUUAGGUUGUCGUGCAGGGGAUGCCCAUCAUUUACUGUGAAGAAAUUAGAGUGUUCAAAGCAGGCUUAUGCCGUUGAAUAUAUUAGCAUGGAAUAAUGAGAUAGGACUUUUUUGCUAUUUUGUUGGUUUGCGCAAGAAGGUAAUGAUUAAUAGGGACAGUUGGGGGUAUUCGUAUUCCAUUGUCAGAGGUGAAAUUCUUGGAUUUUUGGAAGACGAACUACUGCGAAAGCAUUUACCAAGGAUGUUUUCAUUAA
rnacentral:rRNA from 1 species